AAAACACAUUUCAAAAAAACACAACAUUAACCUACCGGAAAAGGUAGGUACCAGUGGAAAACAUGAGACAUUGCUGAUUGGUCGACCGCGCUGUUGGACGGACCACAGUUCUUGUUCCGCCCAUAUCGAGGAUGCAUCAAUGCAUCCUUCUGCGGAAUUGGGUAAGCUAGGUUUCCCAUAAUGCACUCACCAGCAGCAGUCAAUGGAGAAGACAGCUCUGCAGGAGAGAAAGCACACUUCCAGGUUUGGAUGCAUUUUCCCACAAGCUCCCAGGGAUCUUCACCAUCAUGUCCGGCUGUGGUCUGCUCCACUGUCUCCUCAUCUUAUUUUACAUUUUAAAUUAUAUUAAAUAGGUUAUGAUUAGACAGUCAACUUACCAACUUCCUGGCUGAUUAUCUUUUUUUUUUUUUGUUAUUCCAAUAAAGAUUUUACUACAAACA